AGUGAACGCUGGCGGUAGGCCCAACACAUGCAAGUCGAACGGCAGCACAGUAAGAGCUUGCUCUUACGGGUGGCGAGUGGCGGACGGGUGAGGAAUACAUCGGAAUCUACUUUUUCGUGGGGGAUAACGUAGGGAAACUUACGCUAAUACCGCAUACGACCUACGGGUGAAAGCAGGGGAUCUUCGGACCUUGCGCGAUUGAAUGAGCCGAUGUCGGAUUAGCUAGUUGGCGGGGUAAAGGCCCACCAAGGCGACGAUCCGUAGCUGGUCUGAGAGGAUGAUCAGCCACACUGGAACUGAGACACGGUCCAGACUCCUACGGGAGGCAGCAGUGGGGAAUAUUGGACAAUGGGCGCAAGCCUGAUCCAGCCAUACCGCGUGGGUGAAGAAGGCCUUCGGGUUGUAAAGCCCUCUUGUUGGGAAAGAAAAGCAGCAGGUUAAUACCCCGCUGUUCUGACGGUACCCAAAGAAUAAGCACCGGCUAACUUCGUG
rnacentral:rRNA from 1 species